AUUGAACGCUGGCGGCAGGCCUAACACAUGCAAGUCGAGCGAGCGGCGGACGGGUGAGUAAUGUCUGGGAAACUGCCUGAUGGAGGGGGAUAACUACUGGAAACGGUAGCUAAUACCGCAUACCAUCAGAUGUGCCCAGAUGGGAUUAGCUAGUAGGUGGGGUAACGGCUCACCUAGGCGACGAUCCCUAGCUGGUCUGAGAGGCGGACCAGCCAGCCUGGGACUUGGAAACGGUCCAGGCUCCUACGGGAGGCAGCAGUGGGGAAUAUUGCACAAUGGGCGCAAGCCUGAUGCAGCCAUGCCGCGUGUGUGAAGAAGGCCUUCGGGUUGUAAAGCACUUUCAGCAGGGAGGCGUUGCCCACAGAAGAAGCACCGGCUAACUCCGUGCCAGCAGCCGCGGUAAUUC
rnacentral:rRNA from 1 species